UACGUAGGGAGCAAGCGUUGUUCGGAUUUACUGGGCGUAAAGGGCGCGUAGGCGGCAAUUCAAGUCAUCUGUGAAAUCUCCGGGCUUAACUCGGAACGGUCAGAUGAUACUGUCUUGCUAGAGUGCAGAAGGGGCAAUCGGAAUUCUUGGUGUAGCGGUGAAAUGCGUAGAUAUCAGGAGGAAUACCAGUGGCGAAGGCGGCUUUCUGGGCCUACCCUGACGCUGAGGAGCGAAAGCGUGGGGAGCAAACCGG
rnacentral:rRNA from 1 species